CCUACGGGUGGCAGCAGUGGGGAAUAUUGCGCAAUGGGGGCAACCCUGACGCAGCAACGCCGCGUGAUUGAAGAAGGCCUUCGGGUUGUAAAGAUCUUUAAUCGGGGACGAAUUUUGACGGUACCCGAAGAAUAAGCUCCGGCUAACUCCGUGCCAGCAGCCGCGGUAAUACGGAGGGUGCAAGCGUUGUCCGGAAUCAUUGGGCGUAAAGAGUUCGUAGGUGGCAUAUUAAGUCUGGUGUUAAAUGCAGAAGCUCAACUUCUGUUCGGCACUGGAUACUGGUAAGCUUGAAUGCGGUAGAGGUAAAGGGAAUUCCUGGUGUAGCGGUGAAAUGCGUAGAUAUCAGGAGGAACAUCGGUGGCGUAAGCGCUUUACUGGGCCGUAAUUGACACUGAGGAACGAAAGCCGGGGUAGCAAAUGGGAUUAGAUACCCCGGUAGUC
rnacentral:rRNA from 1 species